UCUCUAUGAUGAUGAACAUCAAUUAAGAGUCUGAUGUAAUCUAUUAUACUAAAUCAUGUGGAAUAUUGAGGCAUUUGUUUGGGAGAA
rnacentral:snoRNA from 1 species